rnacentral:rRNA from 1 species
UACGUAGGGUGCGAGCGUUAAUCGGAAUUACUGGGCGGAAAGCGUGCGCAGGCGGUCUCGUAAGCUGGGUGUGAAAGCCCCGGGCUUAACCUGGGAAUGGCAUUCAGGACUGCGAGGCUCGAGUGUGGCAGAGGGAGGUGGAAUUCCACGUGUAGCAGUGAAAUGCGUAGAGAUGUGGAGGAACACCGAUGGCGAAGGCAGCCUCCUGGGCCAGCACUGACGCUCAUGCACGAAAGCGUGGGGAGCAAACAGG